rnacentral:rRNA from 1 species
GAUGAACGCUGGCGGCGUGCUUAACACAUGCAAGUCGAACGGAAAGGCCCUGCGUUAGCCGUGUGCUCGAGUGGCGAACUUGUGGGUACGACCGGAGUAGUCUGCCCUUGGUUUUGUGACAACUUCAGGGAACUGGGGCUAGGACCGGACUGUUGCUCCUGCUGCAUGGUGGAGGUUGGAAUGGUGCGGCGGUUGGGGAUGGACUGGUGGCUUAUGGGCUUGCUGGUGGGGAAGUGGCUUACCAAGGCACUGACGGGUAGCCGGCCUGAGGGGGUGACCGGCCACAUUGGGACUGAGAUACGGCACAGACUCAUACGGGAGGCAGCAGUGGGGAAUAUUGCACAAUGGGCGGAAGCCUGCUGCAGCAACGCCGCGUGCGGGAUGACGGCCUUCGGGUUGUAAACCGCUUUCGCCUGUGACGAAGCGUGAGUGACGGUAAUGGGUAAAGAAGCACCGGCUAACUACGUG